CAAUUAUCACAUCAGUGGAGAAAAACACUUGAGGGGAAAAACAAAUUUACACUAUUUUCCUUUUACCUCUCCCGUAAAAACCACACAAUUUCAGAUCUGAGAUUUUCCCUUGAAACACACACUCGCCGCCGAAACCCACUUCUCGUUCAACAAACAACAUCGGUCAAAAACAGGGACAAGGACAACAUUCCUCAAAAACAAGAGUUGGUCUUCAGAGCUCGCAAGCACAUCUCUUCCAUUGCUGAUUGGGAAGAUAGCAAAAAGGUAGCUCUAGAAACUGAUCUAAAAAAAAAUUAAGCUCACAAGCACAUCUCUGCCAUUGCUCAAAAAAAUUAAGGUGGAUGAAAGCUUAUCGGUUAAGUGCUGAGUAUGAUAAUGGAGUGACUGAAUUUCUACAGUUUGCUGAAAAGAAUCUUCCCAACACUGAGGGACUUUUUCCUUGUCCUUGUGUUUCUUGUGGGAACCGGGACCCAAAACUUAGUAAGGAAGAAAUUAAGGGCCAUCUAGUUUCGGUAGGGAUUUGUCAAAAUUAUACCCAAUGAAUAUGGCAUGGUGAAACUAUGAUGACAAGUGUAUCCCUAGACAUCUGAUUGUUGAUAUUAUGUGUUGAGUAUGAUAAUGGAAUGACUGAAUUUCUACAGUUUGCUGAAAAGAAUCUUCCCAACACUGAGGGACUUUUUCCUUGUCCUUGUAUUUCUUGUGGGAACUGGGACCCAAAACUUAGUAAGGAAGAAAUUAGGGGCCAUCUAGUUUCGGUAGGGAUUUGUCAAAAUUAUACCGAAUGGAUAUGGCAUGGUGAAACUAUGAUGACAAGUGUAUCCCUAGACAUCUGAUUGUGGAUAUUAUGUGAUGAAGAACAUGCUAGACAUCGUCUCUGCUAAUAUUACUACCUCUUGGAUGAAGGUAUUCAAUGAUACAACAGCAUUACCAGAAGAUGAGAUGUAUGCUUUGCGAAACGAUUUGGCAACUUAUUUUCUUGAAUUGUAUGAAACUUAGGAUUUACUAAGAUAUGCUUCAAUGUAAUUUAGUACUGUUGGUAUGUUAUUUUUAGCUGGGAGAUCUGUUGGCACUUGGAGAGAGAGCCCCUCCUUUUUUUGUGUUUUGGUACUGCUAGUGACAUAGAAUGACUUGUUUUUUGUUUUUUGUUUUGUGUAUGAACCUUGUUUGUUGUGGUUGUUCCUUCUUGUUAUCUGUUUGCUGGUGACCUAGACUCGUUGAAGGUUUUGUUUAAUUUGAUUCAGAAGUAUGGUUGCAGUUA